CUGGCGGCGUGCCUAACACAUGCAAGUCGAACGGAGUAUAUCCGCUGCAGAGAUUUCGGUCGAAGCUUGGGUAUACUUAGUGGCGGACGGGUGAGUAACGCGUGGGCAACCUGCCUCAUACUGGGGGAUAGCAGUUGGAAACGACUGAUAAUACCGCAUAAGCGCACAGUGUCGCAUGACACAGUGUGAAAAACUCCGGUGGUAUGAGAUGGGCCCGCGUCAGAUUAGCUAGUUGGUAAGGUAACGGCUUACCAAGGCGACGAUCUGUAGCCGGACUGAGAGGUCGGACGGCCACAUUGGGACUGAGACACGGCCCAAACUCCUACGGGAGGCAGCAGUGGGGGAUAUUGCACAAUGGAGGAAACUCUGAUGCAGCGACGCCGCGUGAGUGAAGAAGUAUUUCGGUAUGUAAAGCUCUAUCAGCAGGGAAGAAAGGCUCGUAAGAGAGAUGACGGUACCUGACUAAGAAGCCCCGGCUAACUACGUGCCAGCAGCCGC
rnacentral:rRNA from 1 species